GGGGUUGUGGCUCAGUGGUAGAGCACGUGCCUCACAGGUGUGAGGCACUGGGUUCAAUUCUCAGCACCA
rnacentral:tRNA from 1 species